GAGUUUGAUUAUGGCUCAGGAUGAACGCUGGCGGCAUGCUUAACACAUGCAAGUGAACGAUUUUUGUAAAAAAAUAGUAACGGACGGGUGAGUAAUAUGUAAGAACCAACAUUAGGACAGGAAUAACAUUUGGAAACGAAUGCUAAUACCUGAUAAAGCUUUUAAGUUAAAAUAUUUUCGCCUAGAUAUGGGCUUUCAUUCGAUUAGCUUGUUGGUUAGGUAAUGGCUGACAAGGCUUUGAUCGAUAGUUGGUUUGUGAAGAUGAUCAGCCACACGGGAAUUGAGAACGGACCGACUCCUACGGGAGGCAGCAGUGAGGAAUUUUCCGCAAUGAGUGAAAGCUUGACGAGCAAUGCCGCGUGGGGGAAGAAGGCUUUAGAGUUGUAAACUCCUUUUCUCAUUGAAGAUUUUUGACGUUAUUUGAGGAAUAAGCAUCGGCUAAUGUCGUGCCAGCAGCCGCGGUAAU
rnacentral:rRNA from 1 species